rnacentral:rRNA from 1 species
CCUACGGGUGGCAGCAGUGGGGAAUAUUGGUCAAUGGGCGCGAGCCUGAAGCAGCCAAGUCGCGUGAAGGAUGACUGCCCUACGGGUGGUAAACUUCUUUUAUCAAGAAAUAAAGUGAGGCCAGUGUGCCUUUUUGUAUGUACUUUAUGAAUAAGGAUCGGCUAACUCCGUGCCAGCAGCCGCGGUAAUACGGAGUAUCCGAGCGUUAUCCGGAUGGAUGGGGUUUAAAGGGAGCGUAGAUGGGUGGUUAAGUCAGUGGUGAAAGUUCGCGGCUCAACCGUAAAAUGGCAAUUGUUACUGGAAGCCUUGAGUACAGGUGAGGCAGGUGGAAGUCGUGGUGUAGCGGUGAAAUGCGUAGAUAUCACGAAGAACUCCGAUGGCGAAGGCAGCCUACUAAACUGCAACUGACAUUGAUGCUCGAAAGUGUGGGUAGCAAACAGGAUUAGAUACCCCUGUAGUC